GCUACCUGCAAGUCUCCCUAGAAAAGCAGUUUUUGUAGGUGAAAACAAUGAAGCCAGGUAAUAUUCCAAGGAGGCUGUAAUUUUAGCAGACCUACCAACAACACUGAUGUAGGAAGCUCAUUAUUUUAAUUUCUGGAGUCUUUUAAUUUUUUCUUUAGAAAGUGUAUAAAUAAUUGCAGUGCUGCUUUGCUUCCAAAACCGGGCAGUGAGUUCAACAACAACGACAACAACAGCCGCAGCUCAUUCUGGCCGUCAUGGAGUUUCUUGAAAGAACGUAUCUUGUGAAUGAUAAAGCUGCCAAGAUGUAUGCUUUCACACUAGAAAGUGUGGAACUCCAACAGAAACCGGUGAAUAAAGAUCAGUGUCCCAGAGAGAGACCAGAGGAGCUGGAGUCAGGAGGCAUGUACCACUGCCACAGUGGCUCCAAGCCCACAGAGAAGAGGGCGAAUGAGCACGCCUAUGCCAAGUGGAAACUCUGUUCUGCUUCAGCAAUAUGCUUCAUUUUCAUGAUUGCAGAGGUCGUGGAAAUUUAGGGAGUUUUUUCCUGCUUAUGGACAAUGCUGCAAUGCAAAAUCUUGAAGAAAA
rnacentral:sRNA from 1 species